rnacentral:lncRNA from 1 species
GCAAUCAAAAAAUGCAGAAACCCCUAAAAGCGAAAACCCAGAAAAGCAAAGGAAUUUCAUGCAGUAGAUUAGUAAAGAGUAAUGAAAGAGAGAGAGAGAGAAGGGUAAGGAAAACGGAGACGGCGCUGAAGAGAAAUGGGAAAAGGGUAGCUUACCCUUUUGCAAGAUUCGAUCUGCAGAAGGAAGGAGAUUUGCAGAUUGGAAUGAGGGGAGGAGGAGGAAGAAAGAAGUGAAAGAGAGUGAAGGAAAGAGGAGGAGGAGGAGGAGGAGGAGGAGGGAGCUUGUCUCCCAGUGUGAGCUGUAAAGGCAAUAAAAUUCCCCCCCAAGGGAAAGAAAAUAUAAUAUUCCCCAAUAUAGUAAUGAUAAUGAUAAUGAUAAUAAUAAAGGAAAUAACGGGAAGGAGAAAUGGAGAAAGUUAUCUGUUGGGGAAUUAUUAUAAACAAAAAUGAAUUCUUCUGGUUUUGGCUUGGGGAUGUGCCUGUUGGUGGUGGUGGGCGGUGGCGGAAGAGUGAGUGAGAGUGGUGUUGAAGAAAAUAAAUACUGUGUUGGAGUGGAGAGUGAAGAAGCUGCCUUUGG